GGACACUUAUAUUUAAAGGUGCUUGUGCAAUACCCAGUGAGACUUCACUACACUUGCAAACACUUUGGGGAACUUGAAGACCAGAGGGCCAAGAUGUAGCUUUGCAUUUUGUUGCAGAAGGGUAGGACUCAUAUCUUAUAAAUAUUACUGGCAAAAAGGUUUUAAGUUUUUUAAACAGGAGCUGUGAUAUGGGAAAUCUGUUCCAUAAAAUUUGCCUUCUCAGUAAUCAUGCUGUCUGCCCAAUGUGGGUGCCCUUGACUUUGGCUGACUCUGGCUUGUCUUUAAGAUGUGCCUCCACCUAUGCUCAGCCUGUACCUUUGUAAAUAAAUUCAGCUGUUUAAAAAAAGAUGCAUAUGCCUCUGGUGACCUCCUUUCAAAGAAAAAUGGAAGCCAGGUAACGGCUGUGCCCCAGAAUUUCUUGCUUAUACUCUCACGCUCACCCCAUGUCUCUGAUAUUAUUUCCAGAUGCUGUAUCCUAUGGCUCUCACAUCCACAUUAGAUGUGCUGCUUUUAGAUCCGAAGGAGAUCCUGCUGUUCUCCCUCCUGCUUUCUUCACCUGCCUUCCCACGCCCAAGCAGAAGCUCAUCUCUAACCUGAAAUGACCUUGUUAGGGUGGGUAGAUUCAGGGGUGGACUUUGGUAAUAUGGCACCCUGAGGACAAAAUUUGGCACACCCCUUCCAAAUAUUUCUUAUUUUCACAAUAAUUCCUUUUGGUACGUUUACCUGUAUAUUUACCCAUAUAAAUACAGUUUGUUUGUUUGUUUGUUUGUUGUUACUACUACUACUACUACUAUUACUAUCACUAUUUUGCACCCCCUCAACUUGGCUCCCUAUGCAGGGGAACUGCCCUAAAUCCAGCACUGGGUGGGUAUCUUAAAACUGGAACAAAUUAAUCAUGUACUUUCUUUGCGCUACUUCAGUAUCAGACUGGCAUGUCUCUGAAUACUAGUCUCUGAGGAUUACAAGCAGGUGAGAACUAUUGGACUCAUUUAACUACUGCCUUCCAGAUAUGCCUCAGGGUGAUGUACAAAAUGCAACACAAAUCUAUGGAAACAGUUAAAAAACAACACAGAAAGUAACCACAAAUAUGUUUAAAAACAAUACCAAAUGCACCCAUGGUGGAGAUCUGAAUGGGAAGCAUCCAGAUUGGGGGAGCGUGUCACAUCCAGUUGAUGGGUUUCCCAUAGGUAUCUGGUGAGCCCACCUUGAGAGCACAAAUCUGGACUCGAUGGGCCUUUCCAGCAACACUCACCUAAGAUGCAUUGUAAAAUUUUAUGUCUUGGCAGGAAUUGCUGCAACUCCCGUCUGCAAAUUACCGUCCAGAAUGCCCAGGAAUAUUUCCUCCCAAUAACAUAUACUCUUCUGGAGAGGAACUGGUAUUUGGGAAUACAGAAACCCUAUCCCCCAGACCUCACUGUUUUGAUCUGGAGGAGAGCCAAAGGUUGGCCAGACUCAUCGGCUCUGAUCCUAAAAAUAUCCACACACGUAGAACCCCAAUUUGCAACUAAGACUUGGAGUCUGUAACUGUUUGCAGAGCUGAGGCCAAUCUAUGCAUAAUCCUGGGACAAGGGUAGGGGUUUCGGUGUUGUGUUGUUGCUCACAGAAAAGAUUAAUAUGAAAGAAAACAGGUUUCUUCAGUCUAGUUUUUUUGGAGGUGUAGUAGAUAUCCUCACACAGUGUACACCUAAAAGCCUCAUGCACGCCCAAGCUGAGUGCACACUAGUGUUAUACCUGUAUGCAUAGCACAAGCUAAUUGUAGUUGGGCCAGAAUCAGGUUAUAGUGCAUUGUACAUAGAAACUAAAACCAAACACCCAUGUAGACUGUCUUGUGCUGGAGUGUUCAUUUUUUACACAGUUCCCUUUCUAUGUGCUUGGCUCCUCCAGACUGGUGUUUGUUUGUUGCAUAUUUUGCAUAUUCUGCAACAUGUCAUUGGUCCAAUAGCAGUGUGUUAGUGGUGGAUUUAUAUUGCUCUUUAUUAGUUGUUCUUGAAUGCUUCCCUGAAACCUUAAUGAUUAUCUGUAUUUUUUUAAAAUGAUGUUUUAGGUUUUAUAUCGCCUUGAUAUAAUAUGGUAGAAUAGAAAUACUUUCGGAAGUAAAAUAAAUAAAAUAGAACUUGCCUGCAUUGAUGCUAUCUAGAGGGUUAUUCUUGGCCUAUAGCACAGCAAAAGCAGGACCAAACAACAACCACCUUGUAACAUUUGUAGUGUAAAACACUGCAGGAUUUCAGCAGAAAGUUAUGUGGAAAGAAUGCUGACCGCCCCUAGGCUUUUUGCAAGUGCAAACAACAUUGGCAGCAGGGUGAUGUUUACUGCCCCAAUUCCAUAAUGAACGCAAAUAAUCAUGAAUGAACAAUAAAAAGGGCAUUUGGAGAGGCCCCUACAUUGGUGCUAAAGUGAUAAAUGCAAAGAAAGCUGAGCGUGCACGUGACUGGGGAGAAAUGAAGUGUCACAAAGGUGGCUGCUGCUUUUCUGUAGAUAAAAUCAAAUGAAUGGGACAGGCCUUCAUAUUUUCCUGUCUAGAAAUGCUAAGACAGCAACUGUGUGGCAGUUCUAAAUAAGAUUCUCCAGUACACAUCCAAAUCUCCAUGGGCUACAUGCAUCUGCCAUGAUACUCUCCCACUUGCCCCUUCCUGUCAGCAUUGCAAACAAAUCUGUAGUCUUAAAAGAGUGAAGCCUGGUGCAUUGCAGUUUUGGGGCUAACUGGAAAGCUCCCAUUUCCAAACUUCAAGGCCCCGUGUGCAGUAUGCUACAUGGUCUAUAUGCCACCAUCUAGAUGCUUCUGUUGUGUCUGCUGAGACAGCUGGUGUAAAUCAGGAGAUGCUGGGCAUAACAAAAAAUACCUGGUGCAACUUUGUAUUGCUUUGCCCCCCUUUUUUUUCAAGUGGCUGAUUUUAUAUUUACAUCAACAGAAAUGCUGAGUGCUGCUGUGGUCAGAAUGCCAUCUGUGAGCCACUGGAUGUAUUUCAUCUUUAAUAACAUUGCAAACUAAGUUUAGCCAAUUUUGAAGCUGAUUUGAAUGGAACAUGAAUUUUCCUUGACAUUGGAAAUAUCACCAUGAUUACCUCUCCCUUCUUGUCCUUUUCAAAUAACUCAAGCUUCUGACAAAAACAAAUGUGACCACAGGUCUCAUACAACUUUAACUUAAUGGUGGAUUUUGGCUCAGCACAACUGCGUAAUAUUCCAGAUCUGUGGGUAACAGUGACUAGUCUAAUAAAGAAAGUGGUUAAAUGUAGUCAUCAGCCUGUGAGUUGGGAAGGACUUGGAAACAGUGAGCGAUAAACCAAUCGGGAUGUUUUGCAGACAGCUUUUUCCAAUACAUUUUCCUUUUCUAUAAUAUUUGCCUCGCGUAAUAAGAUAACUCAAACCAUCUGCACUGACUACUUCACUUCCACUGAUUUGCAACUGUUCCAGUUACAUUAUUCCCCAGUGUGCACUUCAUGCUACAAAAAUGGCUGCAGUUCCCCAUUCGAUCCACAUUGUAAUGAGGAGUGAGUCUACACAAGCAUGCAUACCACUUGGCCACUGCAAUGGCAAGUUUGUGCAUAUAUAAAGCCUUGCAAACUAUUAUGGAAUCAGUUUUGAUGAAGUGGGUAUUAAAAUGUUUUAAGGAAACAUAUCAUCCUGAAGCAAAGUUCUUAACCAGAGAUACUAUUUCUGGGUAAGCGGAGUCUGUAACCUGAAGCGUCUAUAACCCGAGGUACCACUGUAUACAUUUUUAGUUUAAAAGGGAGGCAGGAAUAUACAUAAAAGCUCCACCCUUUUCCAACAUCCCAGUGUAUGCCAGUGUAUGCCAGCUGCAUGGCAGAUGUCCUACAUUCAGUGCCAAGGUCUGCACUUGAAUGCCUUCCCCAGAUUAGGAACCCUGGGGAAGUUUAGGGAAGGGCCACAACUCAGUGGAAGAGCAUCCAUAUUGCAUGCAGAAGGUCCCAGAUUCGUUCUCCAGGCAGGGCUGAGAAAGAGUCCCCAUCUAAAGCCCUGCCAGUCAGUGUAGAUAAUACAGUAUUGAACUAGACCAGGG